UACGAAGGGGGCUAGCGUUGCUCGGAAUCACUGGGCGUAAAGCGCACGUAGGCGGAUCGUUAAGUCGGGGGUGAAAUCCUGGAGCUCAACUCCAGAACUGCCUUCGAUACUGGCGAUCUUGGAGUCCGGGAGAGGUGAGUGGAACUCCGAGUGUAGAGGUGAAAUUCGUAGAUAUUCGGAAGAACACCAGUGGCGAAGGCGGCUCACUGGCCCGGUACUGACGCUGAGGUGCGAAAGCGUGGGGAGCAAACCGG
rnacentral:rRNA from 1 species